CAGCAUUGGAGAGACUGAAGUCUUCUGUUUACCCACAGAACUGGUAAAGCACAGGCGGCCGCAAUGCACUCUUCUCCAUGCUGCCCUGCCAGUGUACCUCAACCCUGAUCUGGCGGCGCUAUCUCUAGGGAUCAUAGGGGAGUUCGGUUUCUAUGCACAGGCAACAAUUGAGCCUUC
rnacentral:sRNA from 1 species